AUGGGGAAGCGGGGGUUGGGUGGGGAGAGCCCGCACUGGCGGAGAAGAUGGACGAGGACUGGCGGCCUCGGAGCUACUGGCGGCCCCGGAGGUACCUCGCCGCCGCGUCCAGUUCGACCCUGCCUCCUGCAAGCAUGGCGACUUCUUCGACACCGUCUGAGCGGGCCACGACCUAACCACACCCAAUCUCUUCAGCAAUGUAGAUGUCGACCGUAG
rnacentral:rRNA from 1 species